rnacentral:lncRNA from 1 species
GAAGUUAAUCUGCAAUGCAAUGGCAUGCUGAAGUUAAAUAUCAAAAGAAGAAUAAUAGAAUCUAAUAAGUGCUUCCCAAAGAAAGAAUAUACUCAAUUAAAAUUAUCUGCUUAUGGAAUGAUAUCAGUAUUUUGCUGUCUCUAACUGUGUGAAAAGAUAUAUUAAAGAUGAAAUAUAUAAAGUUUAAUUCCAGGCACUGUUAACCUAAGACCAUAGUCCUGUAGAAGGCUCAUAUUUGGAUUUUAAGACGUCUAGAAGCUCUUCAAAAUAUCAUUUUUUCCAAAGAAAGUGAAACACAGAAUGGAUAAAAAUGACUUGUCUAAUUUUACAAAGAUGUUGGCAAAGACAAGAGAUGAAAAAGAUCAGUUUUCCUGAUUCUCUUCCAUGCUGUUCCUUUUAUUGUAUAUUACAUCUGCUAGGGAAAAGUUAUUACCUUCUCAUUUGUACGUUUAUCAAUAAAAAUUUCUGGGCAUUUA